rnacentral:rRNA from 1 species
GAUGAACGCUGGCGGCGUGCCUAAUACAUGCAAGUCGAGCGAACAGAUGAGGAGCUUGCUCCUCUGACGUUAGCGGCGGACGGGUGAGUAACACGUGGGUAACCUACCUAUAAGACUGGAAUAACUCCGGGAAACCGGGGCUAAUGCCGGAUAAUAUGCGGAACCGCAUGGUUCUGCAAUGAAAGACGGUCUUGCUGUCACUUAUAGAUGGACCCGCGCCGUAUUAGCUAGUUGGUAAGGUAACGGCUUACCAAGGCAACGAUACGUAGCCGACCUGAGAGGGUGAUCGGCCACACUGGAACUGAGACACGGUCCAGACUCCUACGGGAGGCAGCAGUAGGGAAUCUUCCGCAAUGGGCGAAAGCCUGACGGAGCAACGCCGCGUGAGUGAUGAAGGUCUUCGGAUCGUAAAACUCUGUUAUUAGGGAAGAACAAGUGCGUAGGUAACUAUGCGCACCUUGACGGUACCUAAUCAGAAAGCCACGGCUAACUACGUGCCAGCCGCCGCCGUAACAC